AUAAACAAAUAGCGAAACACAGUCGCACAACGUGCAUCAGUCGAGAGAGUUAACUUUGACAGAGUGCAAAAUGCGGCUGCGAAUCAUUUACAUAAAUAUUAUGGCCAUAUUAUUGGCUCUGCUGUGCGGGCUGGGCGUGGCACAAGUCGAUGAUGCAGAACUGGGCGUGAAUGGGGCAAGUGCGCCCGCCAAGAGCUGGUUUCCUGUCUGGGAUGAUGCCCGUGGCGAUUGGACGGAUCGGGACAAUUAGUUGACACAUGUUGUCCAGCUUGAUUUGUUAUUAAUAUAUAUAUGUAUAUAUCUAUCACAGCUGUGCAUUUUAGCUGAAAUUCAAUUUUCUCUAUGCGCUUCAUUAAACACGCCAAAAUGUUGCAGUCAUACUCGUUCCAGCCAGACAUUA